UACGUAGGUGGCAAGCGUAGUCCGGAAUUACUGGGUGUAAAGGGCGUGUAGGCGGGAUAGCAAGUCAGUUGUGAAAUCCCAUGGCUUAACUGUGGAGCUGCAUCUGAAACUGUUUUUCUUGAGUAUCGGAGAUGCAAGUGGAAUUCCAAGUGUAGCGGUGAAAUGCGUAGAGAUUUGGAGGAACACCAGUGGCGAAGGCGGCUUUCUGGACGAUAACUGACGCUGAGGCGCGAAAGCGUGGGGAGCAAACAGG
rnacentral:rRNA from 1 species